rnacentral:rRNA from 1 species
AGCGAACGCUGGCGGCAGGCCUAACACAUGCAAGUCGAGCGGCCGUAGCAAUACGGCAGCGGCAGACGGGAGAGUAACACGUGGGAACGCGCCCUUCGGUUCGGGAUAACUCAGGGAAACUUGGGCUAAUACCGGAUACGCCCUUAUGGGGAAAGAGUUAUUGCCGAAGGAACGGCCCGCGUCCGAUGAGCUUGUUGGUGAGGUAACGGCUCACCAAGGCGACGAUCGGUAGCUGGUCUGAGAGGAUGACCAGCCUCACUGGGACUGAGACACGGACCAGAAUCGUACGGGAGGCAGAAGUGGGGAAUAUUGGACAAUGGGCGCAAGCGUGAUCCAGCCAUGCCGCGUGGGUGAUGAAGGCCCUAGGGUUGUAAAGCCCUUUCAGCGGGGAAGAUAAUGACGGUACCCGCAGAAGAAGCCCCGGCUAACUUCGUGCCAGCAGCCGCAGUAAUAC